rnacentral:rRNA from 1 species
AUGGCGACUCACUCUGAUUCUCAAUCAGCAACUUGUGGUGGCGGCCAGAGCACCAAGAGAACCAAUAUUGAUGAUUUACUUGGCCAACUGGAUUUAAACGACGAAGAGUUUGACGACGUCGAGAUCAAUGAUGAUGACCCUGCAAUCAAGGACAGUGUACGAUGGCUUGCAUUGGCAAGGGUUCAUACAGAAAAAAGCUUCAGUCAGUCGGCUUUCUACCGUGACAUGCGUGCUGCGUGGAACCCUGCGCAACAGAUUCGCUUCCGACCUGUUGGCCCUAACCUGUUCGUUGUUCAGGCGGCGUGUCUCGGUGAUUGGGAG